rnacentral:tRNA from 2 species
AGCGGCUUAGGAUAAUACAAACCAAGAACCUUCAAAGCUCUAAAUGGAGGUGAAAGCCCCCCAGCCCCUG